rnacentral:rRNA from 1 species
AGUGAACGCUGGCGGUAGGCCUAACACAUGCAAGUCGAACGGCAGCACAGUAAGAGCUUGCUCUUACGGGUGGCGAGUGGCGGACGGGUGAGGAAUACAUCGGAAUCUACUUUUUCGUGGGGGAUAACGUAGGGAAACUUACGCUAAUACCGCAUACGACCUACGGGUGAAAGCAGGGGAUCUUCGGACCUUGCGCGAUUGAAUGAGCCGAUAUCGGAUUUGCUAGUUGGCGGGGUAAAGGCCCACCAAGGCGACGAUCCGUAGCUGGUCUGAGAGGAUGAUCAGCCACACUGGAACUGAGACACGGUCCAGACUCCUACGGGAGGCAGCAGUGGGGAAUAUUGGACAAUGGGCGCAAGCCUGAUCCAGCCAUACCGCGUGGGUGAAGAAGGCCUUCGGGUUGUAAAGCCCUUUUGUUGGGAAAGAAAAGCAGCAGGUUAAUACCCCGCUGUUCUGACGGUACCCAAAGAAUAAGCACCGGCUAACUUCGUG